rnacentral:rRNA from 1 species
UACGGAGGGUGCAAGCGUUAUCCGGAUUCACUGGGUUUAAAGGGUGCGUAGGAGGGCAGGUAAGUCAGUGGUGAAAUCUCCAAGCUUAACUUGGAACUGCCGUUGAUACUAUCUGUCUUGAAUACCGUGGAGGUGAGCGGAAUAUGUCAUGUAGCGGUGAAAUGCUUAGAUAUGACAUAGAACACCAAUUGCGAAGGCAGCUUGCUACACAGUUAUUGACACUGAGGCACGGAAAAGCGUGGGGAUCAAACAGG